rnacentral:precursor_RNA from 11 species
AAUUCCAUGGCGAAGGUUGGGCGCUCUCUAGGUGGGUCUGUUUCUAGUGCAUGUGUUUUCUCAGCGCGUCAUUCAUGACUAGAUCCAUACUCAUCUAAAGGGACCCAGCCAUUCUACAAUUUAAAUU